CAUAUCAAUAAGCGGAGGAAAAGAAACCAACAGGGAUUGCUCUAGUAACGGCGAGUGAAGCAGCAAUAGCUCAAAUUUGAAAUCUGGCGUCUUCGACGUCCGAGUUGUAAUUUGUAGAGGAUGCUUCUGAGUAACCACCGACCUAAGUUCCUUGGAACAGGACGUCAUAGAGGGUGAGAAUCCCGUAUGCGGUCGGAAAGGUGCUCUAUACGUAGCUCCUUCGACGAGUCGAGUUGUUUGGGAAUGCAGCUCUAAAUGGGAGGUAAAUUUCUUCUAAAGCUAAAUAUUGGCCAGAGACCGAUAGCGCACAAGUAGAGUGAUCGAAAGAUGAAAAGCACUUUGGAAAGAGAGUUAAAAAGCACGUGAAAUUGUUAAAAGGGAAGGGAUUGCAACCAGACUUGCUCGCGGUGUUCCGCCGGUCUUCUGACCGGUCUACUCGCCGCGUUGCAGGCCAGCAUCGUCUGGUGCCGCUGGAUAAGACUUGAGGAAUGUAGCUCCCUCGGGAGUGUUAUAGCCUCUUGUGAUGCAGCGAGCGCCGGGCGAGGUCCGCGCUUCGGCUAGGAUGCUGGCGUAAUGGUCGUAAUCCGC
rnacentral:rRNA from 1 species